rnacentral:rRNA from 1 species
GACGUAGGGGGCCAGCGUUGUUCGGAAUUACUGGGUGUAAAGGGUUCGUAGGCGGUGCGGCAAGUUGAGAGUGAAAUCUCUGGGCUCAACCCAGAGGCUGCUUCCAAAACUGCUGUGCUUGAGUGUGAGAGAGGCUCGUGGAAUUGCAGGUGUAGCGGUGAAAUGCGUAGAUAUCUGCAGGAACACCCGUGGUGAAAGCGGCGAGCUGGAUCGCAACUGACGCUGAGGGACGAAAGCUAGGGGAGCAAACAGG